CUCUGUGAGAGGAGAUGUUCCUGCCAUCAGAGAGAGGGAACUGCUGCAUCACCAUCCUUUGGAGAUGCUGUAAUGGAGCGUCUGGAAAAUGAGGGAUGGAGGCCCAUCCCAGGCUCCACUGCAGCAGCAGCCCCCACUGCAGCAGCAUCUCCAGUGUCCCCCUGUGCUCGAGGCAGGUCUCAGCUGUGGGUCUGGGACAAAAAUAAAGACUCUGACCCCGAGGAAAGGAUUCCCUCAGGCAGUGCAGUGGAGAGCUGGGAUGGAGACUUGUUGCUCUGAGCCCACACAAUAUCCUCCACCACAGUACCUUGAAUAAUUACACAUGUGGUUGGAAGGACUCCUUUUCCUCUGGUCACCAGUGCCUCAAAUCAUGAAAAGAGUCAAGUAGUUCCCAUAAGUGGCUCUGCACAGCUGGAAGAGGAGCAAAGGGUUGUCUCCCAUGGGACCCCUGGACAUGGGGAGCUGCAGGGAUCCGCCCCUUGGAAAAGAUGGACCAAACGGGGCUGGGUUCACCCAGGACAUCCUCACCAGCAGCUGCUGGUCAGCCUUUGGGUUCUCCUUGGAAGGAGAACUGUGCCACACAGUUUAUGCCAAAGUGUAGAACACAUGGAUUGCAAGAAAAGUCACACACAAUAAAGCAACCCAGAGCAA